AUGUUGUGUUUGUUGACAUGUUUUCAGGUGGAAGCAGAAUUUGUGAGGAUUACUACUGCUCCACUUGUUCCAAGGCUUUUUGCACAACUUGACCAAUACACUGACCAGCUCAUAAAAGUCUUCAAGAAAAAAGGAGGCGCUGCAGUGAAGAAAAUUAGACAAAUUUUGGCCCCAGCCACACAGAAGGAAACUAUUGAAAAGGGGAGGGAGUGUGUCCUCAGGGCACUACCUUUUUACCUGAAUGAAGACCCAAGCAUCCUCUUCAAAGAAUAAUUGGUCGGUAAUUUUAGUUUAGUUUUUUAUCUGUAUUAAACCAAAUUUUGAAUAACUAAUGUUGUUGCAUGUUGUAGUGUUGUUGUUGUUGUAAUUUGCAUGGAACCUGUUUAAAUGUUCUGGGGAAUCUUCUUGUAUACCCAAACUAUUUAUAUUUAUUGUUGAAUCUGUAGUAAAAUAGUGGCGCACUGGGGUGCAUGUUCCUAAUAUUGUGUUUACUUCAUUAAAGGGUAGCUUUGGCCCUUUUUUUUUCUUUUCUUUUUUUUAAUUUAACUGGACGCCAUUUUUCUUUGUUUUUGUGUCUAAGCUACAGCUACAGCUGUUCAGAGGGAGCUGGAACAAAUUACCCUUGCUAUCUUCACCAUCGAAAAAGCUGAUGUCAGCACUCCUCCAGUCGAUGUGGGUAUAACCAUCUAGGGUGUUCUGCAUGACCUGGAAAACAUGGCCUCUGCAUGUGCACUCUUAAUGGAUGGGAUAUAUGCACUGAAUCGCAGUUAACCUCGAGACUGAAAGCUUUCUUUGAAGUACUUCAGAAGCUCUUCCUUCAUCUGUAUGUCAGCAGACUCUUGACCAAGGUACAGAUACUCAAGAAUAAACUGAAUGAAUAUGCCAACCCUUAAUUUGGAUGAUGAAUGUUCUGUCAGAUGGACAGAAGUUUUUCAGAGGCUGAAUGGGAAUAAAAUGGUAAUUUGUUGAAAAUGACAGAUAAAGGGAAAAUUACAUUUAAGAAAAAUUUUGAAAAGUUUGUAAACUACUACAAUUUGAGAGAUUUUACUCUUGUGGGGGAAGGGGGGGCUAGUAAGAGACAAUCAAAAGUAUUGAGAUUUAAAGGAUUUAAUUGAGAGAUGAUACUGCACCAGAAAUGUUGAAGGGUGGUGUGUAUAUUAGCAUAUUGUUAUGAGGUGGAAAUAUGUUCAUAUUCUGUUUGUGUUACAUUGUGUGCAUUGUAAAGGUAAUUGCAAUACAUGCUAAGAAUAAGGGUAAGUUAGGAAUGCAGGAUGAAUGUAUAUUUUGCGGGCUUUUAAAGACGAACAAUUGUUUCCAUGUUAAAAUGUUUACAACCCAAGGUUUUUGCCCAAACACUGGUAAAAUAAACGUUGAGGGUGGCAAGUGUUAAAUGGUUACUGCUGUGCUGUUGCAAAAAAACUGAACGCUGACAAGCUGUUUUAUUGUUAGAUCAUAAUGCUGGCAUGCUUUAUUUAAGUUUUAUUUGGGAUGGUGAUAUAAUUUUCUUUGAUUGCUAAUAUCAGUGGACUAUUUAUUAUUAUUAUUAUUAUUAUUGUUAUUACAACAUUAAUUUUUUAAAAUUGUGGCUGUUGAGGUGGACACUUCACUUUGCAUUGUUAAAGGAAAGCACUUCAUUGGCGUUGUGUUACUGGACUGACCCUAAGCAAUCAUUGCAAAUAGCAACUUUGCUAUCCAUUUUAGACACUAAAAGAAAAAACACUCCACAGACCUUACUAGCAUCACAUGUGCAUAACUCAAGUGUCCUCUUAUCAACAUGUUAUGUGGUCUUCAAUGUUUUUUUUCUUCUAUUUCUGGCAGAUACAGACAUUUAAUUUAAAGUCUUGAUGUUGCAUCUGUCUACAUACUGUUAGUUACUAACCCUAAUGACCUGUCGUGUUUUAUUUUGGACUGGGUUUACACAAAUGCUCACUGAAUGUGUUGGCAAUAAAAGAAAUUUUAAAAAAUAAGUUGGAUGUACUUAAUUCAUUUGUGUGGAACCUGUUGACAAAAUAGAUUUAUGUAAAACUAAUUAGUAAAGCACAAGGUGGCUGAAAAUAUAAUAUUUGAAUUAAUCUAACUUAAAUUUAACAUUUUACUGCCACAAAUAAGAAAUGUGUUGAAGUAACUAAUCUAA
rnacentral:lncRNA from 1 species